rnacentral:tRNA from 1 species
GCGGGGAUGUCUGAGCCUGGUCAAAAGAGUACGGUUGAGGGCCGUAUGCCUUAGUGGCUGCGCGGGUUCGAAUCCCGUUCCCCGCA